CAAGUCACUUGAAUCAAUCCAUACGCCUAUUUAAGCAGAAUAUAUUGUAUGGUGUUCUGAAGACCAUAUUGAGAGAAAUAUUUAUUUGGAUGUACACACUCUGAGUUUUGUUUUUAUCUCUUUACCUUAUGACUCUGACUACUACAUCUCUAAAAUAGGCCGAGAGGAAGAAAAGUCAUGACUGUAUGAGCAUUAACAUAGGUGGUUCCAAAUCACAUCACAGCUGUCAUUCUUGUGUCUGUCAAGGAAUCCGAUGAAACAUGGAACAAUUUCAGACUGGUUGAGGCCUCCUAUGAGGCAGAAAAGUAGAAUAGCAAGAGGCAAACUGGCUACAGCUAUUUCCCCAUGAAGACGAUAAUUUCGCAGGUAAAAGUCAUCUGUUCUAUAAGUUGAAGUAGGGAAAACAUUGGGAAUUGUUGCUAAAUUUGAUCAAGUUUUUAAUUUUCCUAGCCAAUUAUGUAACCACAUCCAAAAAAGACAUGUGGGUCAUCAUGAUAUAAAUGUUUAGUCUCCCUGGCUCUACUUUGCCCAAUACUUUAUUUUUACUUUUUUGUGUGGGGGGAGACACACUUUAAAUUCACAUUAUCUUAUUGGGGAGUAUAUAUCUUUGUAAGCUCUUAAUUCCUUUCCAGAAAAAAAGUGGUAAGUACAUGAAUGGAAAUACUGAGUUAAAUAUACCCUCUAUUGGCUUCCUUGGUUCUAAGUCACUAAGCAAAAUGUCUGCAUUUUUGGAGUUAGCCAUGGGGAAAAAUUACUUUCAGUCUCUACAUUGCAAAAUCUUGUAAUCUAUGUGCACGCACAGAAUCAUACUGAGAAACACUCCCAAUCUAUUAAAA